CACGUAGGGUGCGAGCGUUGUCCGGAAUUAUUGGGCGUAAAGAGUUCGUAGGCGGUGUGUCGCGUCGGCCGUGAAAACCUGCAGCUUAACUGUGGGCGUGCGGUCGAUACGGGCAUCACUGGAGUUCGGCAGGGGAGACUGGAAUUCCUGGUGUAGCGGUGAAAUGCGCAGAUAUCAGGAGGAACACCGGUGGCGAAGGCGGGUCUCUGGGCCGAUACUGACGCUGAGGAGCGAAAGCGUGGGGAGCAAACAGG
rnacentral:rRNA from 1 species